UUUUUUUUUUUUUUUUUCCUUAAGAGAAGGCUUAAGAAGCUAAUAUGCUAUCGUUAGGAAACUGUGCUCCUUUCUACUUGUUUCAACUACAUUUGGGGUGGUAGAUAGGGUAAUACACACACUAAUAGGUUGUUCCAGUUUUACCUCUGUACAUAGGAACACAAAUACACACGUCACUGCAUGUAAACACAAGAUGGCCCCUUGCUCCUCACAAGACAACCCAGGCCCAAUCCCUGAAAACUGUUGCUCUCUUAGAAUCUUUCACAGGAAAUGCACUUAUGAGGAAUUCACUUAGUCCAGGAGCUGCUUGUAAAGAAAAACAUAUCAUGUAGUUGUACAAAUAUAUGCAUGUAAACAUUGUUCACUAGCACAAAAUUAGUCAUUUUAAAGGUCAAGAAUGAUUGAAAGUACUUUUUAAAAUGUUUUAAUAGAGUGUUUCUAAACAGCUAAUAUAAUAAUAAACACUAUAAAUUUCAUCAUUAUAGUUUACCUGCCUCUAUUUCUAUCCAAAAGUAAAAAUCCCAAGAUACAUUAGAAGAAAUCAAAUCUAGACCCAAAUUAUAUAAGAAGAAGCAUAUUGAUUGUCCUUUUUGGGCUAAUAAAAUCUGAGGUGUGUGCAGAAGAAUUCAUUUUAGGGAAAAGAGAUGGCUCUUAGCCAUUUGAAAUGUUAACUUCAUGAGAAGGAAUAAAAAAGCCAAGUAUGGUAAAAACAACAACAACAACAACAACAAAAAAACAAGCCAAAAAACCCCACAAGCAACCACAAAACAAUUAGGGGGAGUAUUCACCUAAGGAAUAAUCUCAAAUUCUGCUUGAGGCAGGGUAGACAGACAGGACUUCUGCGACAAAGAGCAGUUCUAGAAAAGUUUUAGGCAAACAGAAUUUUGAACUAUGAUCUGUGUAUUUAAUAUUUAAACUGAAAUGAAACUUUUCCAUUUUCUCCUUCAUUUAAAUUCUAAUUUUGUUACGGUUUGGAAAAGACAUUAGACCUUUGCGUUGAAUCAAUAGCUAAGGACAAGUAUGGAACCCAGAAAAGGACAUAGAUGAUUAUGCUGCUGCUGCUGCUGCUGCUGCUGCUGCUGCUGCUGCUGCUGCUGGUGAUGAUAUUGGAGGUGAUGAUGACAGUGAUGCUGAUGACGGUGAUGAUGGUAAGGAUGGUGAUGUGGGGUGGAUAGAAGUGGUGGUGGUGGUGGUGGUGAGGAUGAUGAUUAGCAUAGUUUAUUUCUUCUAAAAUCCUAUUAUAUUCUUCUGCCAACUUGGAAAGAAUGCAGUUUUUUUUUUCUGUUUUAACCUCUCUGUAGCUUCCAGGGCCACCCUGCUCUAACGAGUGCAUGGACUCAAUGAAUGGGGCAAGUGAGCUGAUGGGUGGAUGGGUUGACUGGAAUUGCCACUGCUAGACAGGUGAUGUGGUACUCUGAUCUCCUCAUCAAUGUGAUCCAAGUGUUUCUCUGUCUGUUGGGGGGCCCUUCACUUGCCAGUUGACAAAACUGACACCCCAAAAUCCUGCCUGUAAUAAACAGGAAGAGUAUGUGAUUAAAAAAUGAUUAAAAACCUGUUGGAAUAAAUGCCUACUAAAUCAAAGCACUCAUCAUUUAUUCUUGAAAAUCAGUCUGACAGUGAGCUAGGACUUCUACUUUUUAUGGAGAAUGGGGACUUCAAUACUUGUGUGAAAGAGUGGUUAGUGGGAAAAGUAAGUUCAAAUAACUAGAAAAGAGGAAAAUAUAGCAACCACUUUUUCCAUCCAGGGGAUUUCAUUAUUGGCAGUCAGUCUUCCGUGUUCUCUCUGACCUAUUCAGUUUAAACUGGUCAGCAGAUAAGUAGAUCCUUCUUCCAAGCAGGAAGCAUUAUUCCCCUCUCACUGUAGAGCAGCCCACUGGGCUGGGAAAACCUUGCUUUGGGUUUACAAAUACAAAACAGUGAAGUAGUGGAGGUAGGUGAAUAGUGAAUAUGAAUAGUUCAACCAAAACAAUUUACAUUUUCCUCCCAUUACCUGCAUGGAACAUUCAAGUAGUGUUUGCUUUCUGUGUGUGAGUGUGCAUGUGUGCACGUUCCUGUGUUUUGUUUUCCUAAUUAUUUUCUAGCUCAUGUUUCUAUGUAACAUGAUUAAAAAAAACCUACUUAAAACAUUGAAGACUUGUUAGUGAAUGUUCACUUAAUUUCCUGCAUGGCUAUAAACUGGUCUAAAAUUUGGUUUUUAUGUGAUCAGAGUAAUAAGAGUAAACCUCUUAUUUUAUUGACAACAUUAAAAACCAAAGCAUAAUUUAACUUGGGGACAUUUUAAAAAAAGGAAACAUUUUCCCUUUUGAUCUUAAUGGACUAGAUAAGGCUUAUAUCUUGGAAUUGCUAACUUGUAAUCAGAAGAAGUUUUAAAAGGAGUGGAAAUGCCCUGGUGUCUAGUCUUCAAGACUAUCAGACAUUUUUUAAAAAGCCAAGAUUUUACUUUUUCCAAAGAUAUGAACGGUUGAGUUGUUUUCCUAUUCUUUCAACACAUACAUGUUUCUUCCUCUAAUGAUAGAAACAUAUUUUCACAGUAAAGUGUAAGUCAACAAGGAAUUCGAGAAGGGGUCUGAAGAGUUAUUUUUUGGUUUUUUUGGACGUGAGGAUACAAUGUGGUGAUUCUGCUCAACUGGAUGAAGCUGAAGAUUUCCUAUAGGCAAAUCUGAGAGAAAGAAACAUGUAGAGAUUACAUACUUUCUCAGUUUGGGGCAGUAUGAAAGGGGGUUUCAACAGAAAAUUGUGAAUUUCAUUUAUAGUGUGUUCACAAUUUGGUUCUUUCCCUUUCAUUUACAGACCCCUUUCUGAAUAGUUUUAAACUAAUGGUAUUCUGAAGUCGAAUUGUAAAUAUUUCAAUGUAUAUUUCAUCCGAUUAUGCUUAUCCCAAGGCAUUCACUUCUUUUUCUUUUAUAGAAAUUGAGGAUGAAAUUUCAUAUGUAUAUAAACUUUCAGAAAAAGCUCUUGGACAGUUGCAAGAUCAUGGAGAGAAUUCAAAAUGCUUUGUAUCUUGAGAGCAUUGAUCUAGUAUAGCGAUCGGUAUAACGGUUGGAGACCAGCUAGUUAUAGUUCUUCAAGUCUGCAAAGAAAAUCGUGGAAAGUUUUCAGUUAUUGGCAGCCAAGAGAAACAUGAUCAAAGAUGAGGUUUUGUUUGUCUUGUGUUCUAGCCCUUUAGAGAAAGAGUGCCCUGUUGUGGCAAGGAUUCAUCAAUGCAAAAUGGGGUUAUCAACUACCCUCUUUCGCUUCCAGAGUGUGAUAUUUUGCAGAGCAGCAAAAAAUAUGCCUAAACACUUUUUACUGAAGUGAGCUAUGACCAGGUAAAAAGAUUCGGUGUGAAGGUUCUACGUGAACCCUCACAUGCCAUCACAAGCACUAUGCCAUCUACUUUUAGAUUGGCCCCAAUUUCCCAUAGGUAGCCUGAAAGUGCUUUGCCAUAAAGGGCAAGCAUGUCCUUAAUUGAAGAAUCCACAAAAACUGAGUUCCUAACUGACUGGAUAAUAUAAUUAAAGGUAAGAUCAUUGAGCAUGUCAAGAAAUCUUGCCUCCACCCAUU
rnacentral:lncRNA from 1 species